GAUGAACGCUGGCGGCGUGCCUAAUACAUGCAAGUCGAGCGAACAGACGAGGAGCUUGCUCCUCUGACGUUAGCGGCGGACGGGUGAGUAACACGUGGAUAACCUACCUAUAAGACUGGGAUAACUUCGGGAAACCGGAGCUAAUACCGGAUAAUAUAUUGAACCGCAUGGUUCAAUAGUGAAAGACGGUUUUGCUGUCACUUAUAGAUGGAUCCGCGCCGCAUUAGCUAGUUGGUAAGGUAACGGCUUACCAAGGCAACGAUGCGUAGCCGACCUGGGAGGGUGAUCGGCCACACUGGAACUGAGACACGGUCCAGACUCCUACGGGAGGCAGCAGUAGGGAAUCUUCCGCAAUGGGCGAGAGCCUGACGGAGCAACGCCGCGUGAGUGAUGAAGGUCUUCGGAUCGUAAAACUCUGUUAUUAGGGAAGAACAAAUGUGUAAGUAACUAUGCACGUCUUGACGGUACCUAAUCAGAAAGCCACGGCUAACUACGUGCCAGCAGCCGCCGUAA
rnacentral:rRNA from 1 species